rnacentral:rRNA from 1 species
UACGAAGGGUGCAAGCGUUACUCGGAAUUACUGGGCGUAAAGCGUGCGUAGGUGGUGAGUUAAGUCUGUCGUGAAAGCCCCGGGCUCAACCUGGGAAUGGCGAUGGAUACUGGCUCGCUAGAGUGCGGUAGAGGAGAGUGGAAUUCCCGGUGUAGCAGUGAAAUGCGUAGAUAUCUGGAGGAACACCGGUGGCGAAGGCGGCAUCCUGGACCAACACUGACACUGAGGAGCGAAAGCCAGGGGAGCAAACGGG